rnacentral:tRNA from 1 species
CUCCGUAUAGCUCAGUCUGGUAGAGCAUUCGCUUUGGGAGCGAAGGGUCAAAUGUUCAAAUCAUUUUACGGAGACCA